rnacentral:miRNA from 1 species
GACCUCAACAGCAGCAGCGAC